UUUUUUUUAAAUCAAUGGUUGAGAUUGAAAGUUGCUUUUUGUAACUAUCAAUUUCAAUCAUUUAUAAGAAUUGCAUCAGAUGCAAUACCCACUUGAUCUCAAUCCAAAUUACAUGCGUAUAUACCAUAUAAGGAAAAGGCUCUAGCCACCACUAGCGAAGCCAGAGGGGGGCACCUGCCCCCUGACUCCUCCUAAAAUUUUCUAGCAUUAGUAGUCUAAAGUAAUUACUUAGAGUAUCACCAGCAGUCUCUCCAAAUUUUUGCCUAUUUGGAGAGUGAACAGUGCAUUUUACCUUUUAGUUACUAACUCUUUCAAAUACAUUUUCCAACAAAUUUUUUAUCCCAUUCUCUAUUUCAUUUAAAUAUUAUUUCUUCAUUCAUUCUUUAUUUUUUUUUUUAUCAUCAUUUAUUCUUCCUAUAUUCAUUCCUAACAAUUAUAUUUUUCAAUAAAAAGUGUUAUAUUCACAACAUUUUUCGCAAUACUUUCACAAGAAUCACAUCAAAAUCUUAUGUGAAAAGUUAUUACUAGUUCUAAUUUGAACCCACCACUGAAAUUAUUUUUUUACUCAUCAAUAUUAGCUAAUAACAAUCUAUUACUUAAAAUUUAUUGUGAAAAUAUUGUAGUAGCAUUUUUAAAUUGUAUUUUUCUUUUCUUUCUUUCUAUCAUCCAUACGUUUCCUUUUUUUUUUCUUUUUCUUAUCCCUUGAUUUUUCUCCACCACACACGUAUACCCAUUAUCUCCAUCCUCUCCUUUUUGUUUUCUCUACUUUCCAGUUUCCACUUCAUUCUAGAACCUCCCUCCCUCUUUCUUUCUCUACUCUUUUUUUUUUUUUUUUUCUUUUUCUACUUGAUUCCAAAACAUUAUCCAACUCUCUCUGUGAUAAGAAACGGAGAAGGAGGUAGAGAGAGAAAGAAUAGAUGGGUUAGAUGGCUCCGCUUCGCCGCGCCUUCGCUCCGCUCUCUGUGCUUCUGCACCUUCUGCUCCUCCGCCGCCGCCGCUUGUCUUCCUCCCCAACGCAACCCAGAUGGGAACAUUUGGUUUGGGUUGUUGGCAGGCCUGAUAUUCGGCUUCGCAGUUUAGCUGAACCGAGCAAGUAGCUCUUGUAAGUUGUAGUGAGACUCUGAUGUGUCUGAACUAGUACUUUUUUGUGUGCAAAAGUGGUAAUUAAACAGACUAGGCCAAAUUUAUCCAAUGAAAAAGAAAAGGAAUAAAGGCAGCUAACGCUCAAGCA